rnacentral:rRNA from 1 species
CACGUAGGCGGAUAUUUAAGUCAGGGGUGAAAUCCCAGAGCUCAACUCUGGAACUGCCUUUGAUACUGGGUAUCUUGAGUAUGGAAGAGGUAAGCGGAAUUCCGAGUGUAGAGGUGAAAUUCGUAGAUAUUCGGAGGAACACCAGUGGCGAAGGCGGCUUACUGGUCCAUUACUGACGCUGAGGUGCGAAAGCGUGGGGAGCAAACA